rnacentral:rRNA from 1 species
GUGCCUAACACAUGCAAGUCGAACGAGAAAGUGGAGCAAUCCAUGAGUAAAGUGGCGACCGGGUGAGUAACACGUGACUAACCUACCCUCGAGUGGGGAAUAACUCCGGGAAACCGGGGCUAAUACCGCAUAACAUCGCAAGAUCAAAGCAGCAAUGCGCUUGAGGAGGGGGUCGCGGCUGAUUAGCUAGUUGGCGGGGUAACGGCCCACCAAGGCGAAGAUCGGUAUCCGGCCUGAGAGGGCGCACGGACACACUGGAACUGAAACACGGUCCAGACUCCUACGGGAGGCAGCAGUGGGGAAUUUUGCGCAAUGGGGGAAACCCUGACGCAGCAACGCCGCGUGGAGGAUGAAGCCCUUUGGGGCGUAAACUCCUUUCGACUCGGACGAUAAUGACGGUACGAGUGGAAGAAGCACCGGCUAACUCUGUGCCAGCAGCCGCGGUAAUACAGAGGGUGCGAGCGUUGUUCGGAAUUAUUGGGCGUAAAG